AAAAUAAGCGCACCUCGGUUCCGAUUGUAUACACAAUAAUUUCUCUUUCGCCGGAGCCUGUUGAGGGUUUCGACGGGCUUUGCCGUAGCGCUGGCCGGCGGUACGGUGCGCUCUGGAUCGCCAAUCUAUUAGCGCACUUGGGUUGAUUUCCAAAUGCAGGAAAAACACAGAUUUUGGGGGUUUUCAAAUUCCUGAAAUUUUUACUUCAUAUUUCAUUUGUUGUUUGCGUCAUAUCAAAUAUGACAAAAAUGUAAAUUCAGAAAAAUAGAAUGCAAUAUAUUACUAAUGCAACAGCCCUUUAAAAAGACGCAUCUUUCUAUUUUGUAGAAGGGAAACUUUUAUUCAAAUCAAAGUGAUUAUCAUUCAUCAUAUUUGAUUUUAAAUCAUCGAACGUUAAAUUUCUA